CUCCUGGUUCUUUCUUGACAGUAAGGAUAAACAAUGUGCAGUAAGUCACAUAUUUCCAAAAUAUCUGGGGGCGCUAUUACGGUUUCUGAAACGAGGUGAAAAUUACAAAAAACCGUGAUAGCCCCCCUGAGAAGGUGCAAUUGGUGUUGCAAAAGCGAAUUGGUAUUUAAUCAACGAGAUUCAGAGACGGAAGCACAAGCCCAGGAUGAUCCUUCCCGAGAAAGCAGUCUCCGUACUUCGUCUGGAACCAAGAUUCAUAACUCCAGCGAUUAGAACCUGUUCGGAUGCACUCAAAUGCAAAGUUUGUCGUGCCAUGAGAUAUUUUCCUCCUGAACAAUGCAGUAUGGUCAAUGUUAAAGUGAUCGGGUGUUUACUGUUUGUAUGUGAUGGCGACACACUAUAGUUAUACCGGUGAUUCAAGAACAGAUUGGAAUAUUCCAUCUGCGACUUGCUCUCUUUGGCGAAAGGAUAUUUCUUGAUGCAUUCGACUUUAUUUGAUAAUCUAACGAGUUUGUAUGAAAAUGUCUUAGAAGUAUGGGAGAACAUACAGAGGAAUGCCAUUGAAAUGCAUGCAACUCAUGAUAAAAUUAUGCUGAGUCCUGCGGAUAGUUGGUUACAUGUAGACUCGACGCAAUUAGAAACAUAUCUAAACCAAUGGUAGAAAAACGUUAAGGAUAAAGAAUUUUAUCAAGACCUUAUGAUUCUGCAAUAAAAAAUGCAGUCGUUUGUCAAUCAAACCAGCGACGUUAAUGGCGUGCAUUUCUUAGGAGAACAAUCAAUGUAGAACAACAUGCAAGGACAUGGGGAAUGGCGCGCGAAUAGACUUCGACGCGAAUGUAUUCGACAGUACGUUAAGCGGCAUCCUCGACUUGGCAUUCUGGGAGGAAGGGACAAGUACGUAUUGAAAUUUUUAAUUUAUUUUAAUUCAUACACAAUUUUAUAAAUUAUAUGUAUGUAUACGUACAGAGCGAUUCUUAAUUCGUGUCCCAACUUUUUACCGUUUGGGAUGAUUUACCGACUAAUGCUAAUCUAUAGGGGAAACCGGGGCUAUUCGGAAGCCCGAGCUAUUCGAACAACUGGAAAUAUCUUUGUACGGAUACAUAUUAAAAAUUUAAUUUAAAUGUUCCGAAAGCGCUGAAGCAGUAAAAUUCUCUAUUGUGAGUUUAUUUUUUUUAUUGUAUGCAACUUUUCUUAAUAAUACUAUAUAUCCUUAUGAAUAAAACAAAGUCUUAACAACA